GACGAACGCUGGCGGCAUGCCUAAUACAUGCAAGUCGAGCGAACAGAUGAAGUGCUUGCGCUUCUGACGUUAGCGGCGAACGGGUGAGUAACACGUAAGGAAUCUACCUAUAAGCGGGGGAUAACAUUCGGAAACGGGUGCUAAUACCGCAUAAUAUCUUCUUCCGCAUGGAAGAAGAUUGAAAGACGGCCCUGCUGUCACUUUUGCAUGACCUUGCGGUGCAUUAGUUAGUUGGUGGGGUAAUGGCCUACCAAGACGAUGAUGCAUAGCCGACCUGAGAGGGUGAUCGGCCACAUUGGGACUGAGACACGGCCCAAACUCCUACGGGAGGCAGCAGUAGGGAAUCUUCCGCAAUGGGCGAAAGCCUGACGGAGCAAUGCCGCGUGAGUGAAGAAGGCCUUCGGGUCGUAAAACUCUGUUAUAAGAGAAGAACAAAUUGUAGAGUAACUGCUACAGUCUUGACGGUAUCUUAUCAGAAAGCCACGGCUAACUACGUGCCAGCCGCCGCCGUAA
rnacentral:rRNA from 1 species